UACGUAGGUGGCAAGCGUUGUCUGGAAUUAUUGGGCGUAAAGCGCGCGCAGGCGGUCCUUUAAGUCUGAUGUGAAAGCCCACGGCUCAACCGUGGAGGGUCAUUGGAAACUGGGGGACUUGAGUACAGAAGAGGAAAGCGGAAUUCCACGUGUAGCGGUGAAAUGCGUAGAGAUGUGGAGGAACACCAGUGGCGAAGGCGGCUUUCUGGUCUGUAACUGACGCUGAGGCGCGAAAAGCGUGGGGAGCAAACAGG
rnacentral:rRNA from 1 species